ensembl:lncRNA
AUUCACAGAAUAAAAUUCAUACAAUUUACAGGCAAAAUGGCAAUAAUAGUGAUGUAUCACUGAUCUUCAAGUCUAAAAAGAUGUACCACAGGUUAAGGUGGACAUGGGAACAGAGCCCUAAAUCUCAGAUUGAUCUGAUAGCUGUAGAAAAAGGAAGAGAAGUUCAAAUAAAAGGACCAAUUAAACCAGGAAGAAAAUCUUCUACUACAUACACUGGUCAUUUUUUUAUCUUUCACAUCUCACCUGUGAACUUCAAUUAUAGUGGGAGAUACAGGUGUAUUACUGAAACAUCAACUUACACAACCACAAUACUACGCACGAUCAGAGGUUUGUAACAAAUUUACAUUGUUUUCUCAAUUACAUGCACCAUUUUGUUCUCAGUUGUUUAAAGGAAUGUUUGCAUUUCAAUAAUAUUUCUUAACAAUUAACAAUUUUGUAUUGAUGCAACAAUGUUUAGAGAGAUGGUUGGGUGCAAUUCAGUGAAUGAGAAUUAGUUAAACAACUAACAUCGCGUGUAGUGCAUUUAAGUUGUGCUGAACCUGUAAUACAUUCCUUUAUUUUUAUAGAUGUUAAUCAAUAUAUUUCUCCAAAUGUAAAAUCUCAUUGAUUACCUGUGAGGUAUCUGAAGUAACUGAUUCAGUGACGCUGGUCUGGUUUAGGAUGGAGGGGAACAGAGGAGUGCUGGUCAAACAGCAAAUUAUGACUGAGAAAAACAACAUGUUACGUCUCACAGUGAAUCUAGCCAGCUAUGAAACAGACCCGCUGCACUGGCAGUGUGCAGUUUUUACUGAGAAUACACUCAGAGCUCUGGCCCCUAUAACAAUCAGUCGUACCUCAUCAAAUACAAAUGCUCCAACAGAAAGCUCAAAUGUAACAGACCAAGAAGACACCAUGACAAAGGACAAUCAUCUACAAAUCAAGAUCACCGUGGCUUGUGUUGUUACUGUCAGUGUGCUGAUUCUGCUGGGACUUCUAGUUUUUAAAUGUCAGCGAAAAACAGAUGGAGGUCACGUCACUGGAUUAAAAUCACAAGACGAUGAGGACAUCCAUUAUGCUUCACUGACAGUAGCAGGAUCUAGUCAUGGAGCUGAAAAGUGUAUAAAAAGAAAUCAUCCAAGUUCAGAGGACAGCAAUUCGGCAGUCAUCUACUCAGCAAUUAAAGUACAGUGAGCCUUGACACUGGGAGCUUUGUAUUUCAUUUAUUUUACAUUUAUUAUUGAAUGGAAUUGAAAACACAGAAUGAAUCUUGUAUUAAUGAUAGCAUGCUAUCCAUCCAUUAUUUUGGUACUGUAUUUUAAAACAUAAGACUAAUGAACCAUGCAUGCUCAAGUGCAUUAUGGGUGUGCUCAGGUCUGUAAGCAAAGGUUCUUCGGGUUUCACUUGAAUAGGAAACAUAAAUGCAUCACCAGCACUAUCUCUAAGUAUAAUCAGAUCAAUAUGCUCACAGAAAGAAACCUCAAUGUGGUUUCAUGACACACGACUGUGCUAAAUGUAGCACAGUAUAUCCUGUUAUGGAGAAAAGAGAAAAAAAGACUAAGGGGAUUUAGCUUUGCAACUAAUGUUUAUACUAACUAAAAGUCAAGAAGAAGAAAAAAAUUUAAUUGCAAGAAUUUUGAACAGUGAAAUAUUCAUAACAAUAAACAUGAACAUUAUUUAAUUGCCUAUGUGCA